UAGAAGGUGUCAGAUGUGAAAUGGAUUC
rnacentral:sRNA from 1 species